AGCUGAUCAACCUGGGAUGAGAAGUAGAAUUUAGAUGAAAACCCCAAAUUCCUAAAAGGUCUUUCAAUUCUACAGCUACAGGUUUUUUAUGAAUGAAGUAAGGAGCUGCACACAAAACAUCUUCAGUGAUAGUAAGGAAGAGGAGAUUGGGGAAUACUGUCUGCAGGCAAAGAGAAGGAACAAGAGACAUGCUCCAAAGGAGAAUCUUGUAAUUUUUGAAGAAAUAAAAUUUCAGCAUCAUCAUUAAAAUUUCAUCACUAUUUGGAGUUUAAGUUCUUGUGUUCAGGCAAUUCCUGAUCCCAUUUUGGUUUUUCCU